UACGGAGGGUGCAAGCGUUAUCCGGAUUCACUGGGUUUAAAGGGUGCAUAGGCGGGCUUGUAAGUCAGUGGUGAAAGCCCGGAGCUUAACUCCGGAACUGCCAUUGAUACUGCAGGUCUUGAGUACACUUGAGGUGGGCGGAAUACAUCAUGUAGUGGUGAAAUACUUAGAUAUGAUGUAGAACACCGAUUGCGAAGGCAGCUCACUAAAUUGUAACUGACGCUGAGGCACGAAAGCGUGGGGAUCAAACAGG
rnacentral:rRNA from 1 species